CCCAAACGAUCCCAGCUCUUCCCUCUUUCUAACCCACUUUCCUCUUUCUCUCAUUAUCUCAAGUCUACUGAACUUUUCUCUGAUACCACACACAAACCGGAGUCGUUACUAUGAACGGAGUCUUCCCGGUGAUCUAAGAUACAAUAAUAAUAAAAAAAAAAAAAAAAAAAACCGCCUGGCGAAGUACUACAAUCCUCUUGAGGAAUCUGAGAAGCACAAGGUUGAAAAUGAGGUCAAUGAUAAAGCAAUGUUGCUACAUUCAAUUCCAGCACUCCAUCAUGUUUGGAACCAGGAAACAGUUU